rnacentral:rRNA from 1 species
UGGUGUGAAUUGCAGAAUCCCGUGAACCAUCGAGUCUUUGAACGCAAGUUGCGCCCGAGGCUUAGGUUGAGGGCACGUCUGCCUGGGUGUCACGC